rnacentral:rRNA from 1 species
AUUGAACGCUGGCGGCAGGCCUAACACAUGCAAGUCGAGCGGGUGAAGGUAUCUUGCUCCUGGAUUCAGCGGCUGACGGGUAAGUAAUUCCUAGGAAGCGGCCUGGUAGUGGUGGAUAACGUCCGGAAAAGGGCGCUAAUACCGCAGAAAACCGAAGGAAGAGAGUGAGGGAGCUUCUGACCUCACGCUAUCAGAUGAUCCUAGGUCGGAUUAGCAAGUUGGUGAGGUAAAGGCAUACCAAGGCGACGAUCCGUAACUGUGCUGAGCGGAUAACCAGUGACACUGGAACUGAGACACGGUCCAGACUCCUACGGGAGGAAGGAGUGGGGAAUAUUGGACGAUGGGCGAAAGCAUGAUCCAGCCAUGCCGCGUGUGUGAAGAAGGUAUUCGGAUUGUAAAGCACUUUACGUUGGGAGGAAGAGCAGUAAGUUCAUAACUUGAUGCUUUGACGUUACCAACAGAAUAAGCACCGGCUAACUCCGUG